CCCCCCCCCCACUCACCCAGAAGCCCCGGGAGUGGCCGGGCGCGGGUCGCGGGGGCGGCGGGCGGGCCGCGCGGCAAGUAGAAGCAGCAGCAGCAGCAGCAGGAGCGCGAGCGGCGGGCCCCAUGUCCGCUGGCGGGCGGGCAGGCGGCGCUCAGUCCAUGGCGGCGGCUCCUCCCUGCGCGCCUGGCGCCGCCGAAGCUUCAGCACCGGACAGCGCCGCCGGCCCCGCCCCCGACACGCCCCCUGCCACGCCCCCGAUGCGCCGGGCACGCCCCACGACGUGCGUUCGCCCGCCGGCCACGCCCCCCGACGUCCCCGCGCCUGGCCCCGCGCUGCCUCCGAGUCGGACGGGCGUCGCGCCUCGGUAGUCCCAGCCGGUCUUCCUCUUCGGGCCCCUCUGCCCCGGCUUUCUCGGGAGUCGCACUGCCCCGCUUGCAGACGUCCGGGGCCUGGGACGGAACGGCGCGAACCCUCUCUGCUCGGCUGGGCAGGUGCAGACCCGGUCGAAGCUCGCCUGAAGCGCGGGCGGUGUCGCGGCCCCUGGAAGGGGACGGAGGAACAGCCGUGCGGGGUCCUCAGCCUGGAGAGAAGGGGCCUGCGGGAGGCUAACCUGGAGCUGUGGAAGCCCCUCCUGCGCUCUGCGCUCGGUUGGCGGGUCAGGGCUCCAUAGCGGGGACGAGGCCCGGAGGUGGGGUCCGCCUGGGUCCUUCCCUCCUCCCUGUGGCCGGGCCCAGAGGGGCCCCUGAGGACCCUGUGCUACUUCCUAAAGGCGCGGCUGUGAGGGUCCCCGGGGGCAGAAGGCAUCAGAGGGGGCUCUGUGUGUGAGUGUGUCAGAGAGAGGUGGGGUGUGCGUGCGCGCUGUGAGUGGGUGUGGGGGGUGAGGAUGUAGAGUAUGGUCGUAUUAUGCGAGUGUGGUGUGUGUGUGCUCCCCACAUCUCACCCCAGGCCAAUCUCCUCCAUCAUUGUCUUCGUCGUCGUCUCUUGUGGCCCUGCCAGGGACCCCAGUCCCCCGCCUGCUUCAGCGUUGGCAGUGGCCUGAGCCUCCUCUGACCCCUGUGGAUCCCACUCACCCAAGGUCAGCUCUCAUUUCCGCUCCUGCCCAUCCCUCUGGGUUCUCGCUGCCUGGCCCUCGUCAGCCAGCCUGUGUGUGCCCCUUACCACUCCCGACAAGGCUACCUGUGCACACUUUGGGGUUAAGGGUGAUGGCGAGGGAGUUGGGACUCAGCAGAGCCCAUCUCCAGUUGGAAUUGAAUAUUGGGUCUGACUGCCCCACAGUUCCCCCUUUGCUGAUGCCCUGCAUCCCCAGACGGCCACUGCCCUCCCUGCAGGGUCCCUCCCUCUCCCCACCUGCUCAGCAUGCUCUGUCUGUCCCUUUGCCUGAGAGAGCAGCAGCAGUCAUCGCCCCACAGUGACUUUUCUUCCUCCUGCUGCAUGGACAAUUGGCUGUUUGUAACCUCCAGAUCCCACAACGGGUAGGGGAAAAGGGUGGUGAAGGGGCUUUUCAGUAGACUUGGGUUUCUUUAUUCCUUGUGUUAUUCUUAGUAGCCUGACUCCAGGUUAGCACCCUGCUGCUCUCACCUCAAAGCAAAUGGGACUCCUUGAGUAGAAUUCAUCAAUGAGACGAUUCAUUCUCACACUCUGAGAAAGGCUGCAAGACACUCAUUCCUCAGCUUGAUUACACCACACCACAAGCCACAAUGUGAGCACACAGGGCUUACCCCAAAUGUGGGCUCAGAGCAUGAGAGAUCCACCUUGGUGAAGGUGGGAGGCCAAACGGGGAGGAGACGUUGGCAGAUGGCUUGGACAGGCAUGUCUAUCCUCAGAGGUCCGGAGAGCCAACUGGUGGUAAAUUUGGUGACAGAAACAAUAGGAAAAAAGAGAAAUAAGAUCAAAAUGGGCUGGAAGGUAAAGCUCAUUAAUGCCAGGGCCCAAGAGGUGAUUCAGAAGCAAGAGGGCAGGACAUACAACUCUGUUCAGUGACAUCACUUUGUGAUGUGGAAGGAUCUGUUUCCAAAUACCUAACUCCGUUUUUCUGUUGUAGGUGAGGGUCUACGUAACCAAAUGCCUGCUUAAAUGCGAGUCACUACAUUCACACUGGAGAGGGAGCCAUCUGUCCAAGAACCAAAAAGCCUAUCCGUGCCCACAAGUUGGAGACUGCUGGGCCUCUGCCACUGGCAGAAUCCAUUGGCAUUUGUAGUGGACAUUGUGAAAGACUUGGAGGAGCUUAGGGCUCCUCCUGUGCCUGUAUCCUGGAGGACUGUUUACUUUUGGGGUGGGUGUCUCCUGUUCCUUGGCAUUGUUAAACAGGUCUCACGGAAAGGGCCUGGGAUUGUUUGUUCUUUCAUUGUUUGACUGGCUGCUGUUGACAGUGGUUUCCUGAACCAGAUCCUGCUUCACUCCAAGGCCCCAGCUCCGGAAUUCUGACAGGGUCGAAGCAAAGUUGUAGCAAAGUUUGCCCCAGGAAAGGCAAAAUGGAAAACCAGAGAGGCACAAGAGGGAUUGCGAGAUUAUAGUAACAAAGGCACUGAGAAGAAGCACAAAAUUCACCAGGUGGCGUAGGAAAGAGGGUGGAAGCCGCUGCCCAUUCCUUCUGGUCUCAGCACUGAAUUUGACCAGAGCACACCAGUCCUGGGCUGUACUUGACAAGCCACAAAACCUUAGCUCUGCCGAAACGACAGGAAGUUAAAGGCAGAGAAAUGGAGAAUGUGGAAGGAAGGAAGAAAGAAUGGGGCUAGGUUCCAGAACUAAAUCUGAGGUAGCCCAGAUUUCUGACCUGGAGGACAGCUGUGCAUGGCUCCUUCUGGAAUGCUAGCUAGAUAGAUCAUCACACCAGGAAUUCCCAGUCUUUGACCCUGAUACACGAGCUGUGCAUGUGUGUGCACCCGUGCGUGCAUGUGUGCGUGUGUACAUGUGUGUGCAACUGCACAUAUGUGUGUGGGUGUGUACGUGUGCAUGCACUCAUGCACAUGUAUUUGGUGUGCUGGGUGCACGUGCCUACGUGUAUGUAUAAGAACAUGAUUAAAUGCUAUACAAGGCACACAUAUACAUGUAUCUGUCCACUAGGUGUACAGCAUUCACUCAAAACAUAUGCUUAAUCCCUGGGCCCUUUAGGCCAAGGGUGUCCCCUACAUUUAUUUAUGCUUUGUGCUUUUCUACUUAUAAAAUCAUUUAAUCCAUUA
rnacentral:lncRNA from 1 species